UACAGAGGGUGCAAGCGUUAAUCGGAAUUACUGGGCGUAAAGCGUGCGCAGACGGUUGCGUAAGUCAGAUGUGAAAGCCCCGGGCUCAACCUGGGAAUUGCAUUUGAGACUGCGUAGCUAGGGUGCGGAAGAGGGAAGCGGAAUUUCCGGUGUAGCGGUGAAAUGACGUAGAUAUCGGAAGGAACACCAGUGGCGAAAGCGGCUUCCUGGUCCAGCACCGACGUUCAGGCACGAAAGCGUGGGGAGCAAACA
rnacentral:rRNA from 1 species